CCAUCAACAUUACCUUCAUUCAACAUGCUGUCAUCACUGAUGUUUCUAGUUAUUCUAAAAGGUGUCAGCUGUGAAGAACUCCGUCCAGUCAAGAAAGAAGAGUACAGUUUAGAAGGCAGCACUGUGACUCUGUCCUACAAUUACUCCAAACAAGCAACUGGUGAUUAUUUCUUCUGGUAUCGACAAUAUCCAGGAAAACCACCAGAGUUCAUCAUCUCCCAUUUAGGAACAGGAGACAUAAUGAGGAAUCCAAUCUCUGUACUGAUGAUAAAAGUGGAGAACAACCUGAUCAGUAUGAACAUCUCCUCUGCUGCAGUGACAGACUCUGCUCUGUACUACUGUGCUGUGAGGCCCACAGUGACAGCAAACCCACAGUCUCUGUACAAAAACACAAGCUGACACACUGACAAGCUGCUGGAAGCCUUUUUUCCUCUCUGUUGUACUGAACUUUUUACCUCCACUAGAGGGCGACACUAUCAUGUAGGCGGUGCACUACUUCUGCACUGUGUUCAAGCAUUCAGAGAAUGAUAAGUGCUGCUGUGAAGAGAACAAUUCUCAGACUGAAUGUUGAA